UAUCAUGUUGGUGUUACGGUCACGUAACACGAAGACGGACGAAUAAAAGCAGCAGCACGAUUCACUAAAGCAGCCAAACAGACAAACACGUGUUCACUUUUUUUUUUGCACUUUAAAAAAGGUUGUUCAUGUUUAGCCUAUGUUGGACCUUUCCUGCGAGGACUUUUCUCUUUCUGACCGUGGUCGGAAAACGUUGGCGGAUCUUCCUUUCCUAAAGCUAAAUGCGUUCUUGAGUUUGCCACUCGGCCACUGGGGGGUUUUGUGUUGGGCAGGUGCCUGUAUUCUAGAACAUUGGCCAGAACAGCAAUGUUACUGUAACCUAACAGACUUGUUCUUUCUUUCAGAUUCUUGUCCAUCACAAACACAAGAACCUCGGAGAGCAGCUCCAGUGGAAGGUCCGGGCAGAUGAUAACUUCAGAACACCACAAUGAGGAGAUGACGGCAGCAGUGAAAGAUGUGCAACCAAAUUGGAGUUUCCACCAAGUUAGAAGUAAGCACAUGAAGUUGGAUUUACACAACUCGCCAUAAGUUAGAGAUAAUGUGAGAGACUCAAUGUCAAUAAUCAGUGUUACUUUCUUUUCAGAGAUUUUUUGAAUAGGAUUGCAAUUGUAUUAGUGUGAUAGACAGCUCAUUUAGUGUUUCCAUGUCUUAAGACCAAAUACUAAGUUACAAUAACGAUAUAGCAUUGACAAUGGAUAAUUAAGAUAAGCCACUGUGACAGUCUGCAUGGCACAUUUUGAAUAUUCCACUUUGGAAACAUGUUUGCAAUAUGUUGACCUCAUCUUCUGUACAUUUCAUAUUUCCAUCGACUAGGAGCUUGCAAUCAAGCUAUUGACAGUCUCAAGUGCAAAGAGAGAGAAUGGAGAUAGAAGCAAGGAGGACCAGUCAGCAUGAUCAGCUCUUCAAAAAGAGGGUCAAAAUUGCUGAGAAGAUUCUCAAUCAA